rnacentral:ribozyme from 14 species
AAGAAAAGAUUUUCAUACUGAGGACCAGACGUUUUUUUUGUUCUAACUCAAAUGAAAGAGAGAGAAGGAACAAACAAACAAAAAAGAAGUGAGAUAGUAUUUCU